GCUAUACAUGCAAGUCGAACGAACUCUGGUAUUGAUUGGUGCUUGCAUCAUGAUUUACAUUUGAGUGAGUGGCGAACUGGUGAGUAACACGUGGGAAACCUGCCCAGAAGCGGGGGAUAACACCUGGAAACAGAUGCUAAUACCGCAUAACAACUUGGACCGCAUGGUCCGAGUUUGAAAGAUGGCUUCGGCUAUCACUUUUGGAUGGUCCCGCGGCGUAUUAGCUAGAUGGUGGGGUAACGGCUCACCAUGGCAAUGAUACGUAGCCGACCUGAGAGGGUAAUCGGCCACAUUGGGACUGAGACACGGCCCAAACUCCUACGGGAGGCAGCAGUAGGGAAUCUUCCACAAUGGACGAAAGUCUGAUGGAGCAACGCCGCGUGAGUGAAGAAGGGUUUCGGCUCGUAAAACUCUGUUGUUAAAGAAGAACAUAUCUGAGAGUAACUGUUCAGGUAUUGACGGUAUUUAACCAGAAAGCCACGGCUAACUACGUGCCAGCAGCCGCGGUAAUACGUAGGUGGCAAGCGUUGUCCGGAUUUAUUGGGCGUAAAGCGAGCGCAGGCGGUUUUUUAAGUCUGAUGUGAAAGCCUUCGGCUCAACCGAAGAAGUGCAUCGGAAACUGGGAAACUUGAGUGCAGAAGAGGACAGUGGAACUCCAUGUGUAGCGGUGAAAUGCGUAGAUAUAUGGAAGAACACCAGUGGCGAAGGCGGCUGUCUGGUCUGUAACUGACGCUGAGGCUCGAAAGUAUGGGUAGCAAACAGGAUUAGAUACCCUGGUAGUCCAUACCGUAAACGAUGAAUGCUAAGUGUUGGAGGGUUUCCGCCCUUCAGUGCUGCAGCUAACGCAUUAAGCAUUCCGCCUGGGGAGUACGGCCGCAAGGCUGAAACUCAAAGGAAUUGACGGGGGCCCGCACAAGCGGUGGAGCAUGUGGUUUAAUUCGAAGCUACGCGAAGAACCUUACCAGGUCUUGACAUACUAUGCAAAUCUAAGAGAUUAGACGUUCCCUUCGGGGACAUGGAUACAGGUGGUGCAUGGUUGUCGUCAGCUCGUGUCGUGAGAUGUUGGGUUAAGUCCCGCAACGAGCGCAACCCUUAUUAUCAGUUGCCAGCAUUAAGUUGGGCACUCUGGUGAGACUGCCGGUGACAAACCGGAGGAAGGUGGGGAUGACGUCAAAUCAUCAUGCCCCUUAUGACCUGGGCUACACACGUGCUACAAUGGAUGGUACAACGAGUUGCGAACUCGCGAGAGUAAGCUAAUCUCUUAAAGCCAUUCUCAGUUCGGAUUGUAGGCUGCAACUCGCCUACAUGAAGUCGGAAUCGCUAGUAAUCGCGGAUCAGC
rnacentral:rRNA from 1 species